rnacentral:misc_RNA from 1 species
AAGUCGUAACAAGGUUUCCGUAGGUGAACCUGCGGAAGGAUCAUUGCUGAUGCCGGCGGCGUGCCUUUUAGGAAGCCCUCACACGGGCCGAAUGGAUGGCCGCCGCUUCAAACAUCAUCCGCCCCUUUGUGAACCCGGCACCGAGGCGAGCGUGAGCUUCAAGGGGCCCACGCGUACACCAAAUCGUCUCCCUGCCCAAACCAAACCUGUCUUUUAUUGCCUGUCUCCCCAGACUGAAGCAAAAAAAAAACAAAAACAUAUCUUACAACUUUUAACAAUGGAUAUCUUGGCUCGC